UCGAAGCGGAAACGAUCCUAGCUUGCUAGGAGGCGUCGAGCGGCGGACGGGUGAGUAAUGCAUAGGAAUCUGCCCGGUAGUGGGGGAUAACUUGAGGAAACUCAAGCUAAUACCGCAUACGCCCCAAGGGGGAAAGCAGGGGAUCUUCGGACCUUGCGCUAUCGGAUGAGCCUAUGUCGGAUUAGCUAGUUGGUGAGGUAAUGGCUCACCAAGGCCGCGAUCCGUAGCUGGUCUGAGAGGAUGAUCAGCCACAUCGGGACUGAGACACGGCCCGAACUCCUACGGGAGGCAGCAGUGGGGAAUAUUGGACAAUGGGCGAAAGCCUGAUCCAGCCAUGCCGCGUGUGUGAAGAAGGCCUUCGGGUUGUAAAGCACUUUCAGCGAGGAAGAACGCUUGUGGGUUAAUACCCCGCAAGAAGGACAUCACUCGCAGAAGAAGCACCGGCUAACUCCGUGCCAGCAGCCGCGGUAAUACGGAGGGUGCAAGCGUUAAUCGGAAUUACUGGGCGUAAAGCGCGCGUAGGCGGCUUGAUAAGCCGGUUGUGAAAGCCCCGGGCUCAACCUGGGAACGGCAUCCGGAACUGUCAGGCUAGAGUGCAGGAGAGGA
rnacentral:rRNA from 1 species